CACUAGCCACUUUCGCUAGGGGCAUGUUUGUUUGGGGUGGAAGUAGGGUAGAAGUGGAGAGGGAGAAAGUUGUUUACGCCAUAAACAAUCACUUCUGUUGUUUGGUUCGUCAUAAAAAAGUUAAGGUUGAAACUCGAGUUGACCUGAAAUGGUGUAAUUGACUUCGGCCUAUCGUGGGCCAAAGUCAAUUACGAUGAAAGAAGGUGAAGAAAAAAUAAUAAAAUAAUAUACUAAAUAAGGUUGUUAUAUUUAAAUAUAUUUAGUUAUGAUACUAAUUACUCUUUUAUUUAGUUGGCAUAUUUAAAAUAUAAUAAAAAUUGAUUAGUUAAGUUUUAAUAUUUUCUUUAUUUAGUUUAUACAAGUAAAAUAUGAUAAAAUUUGAUUAAUUAAGUAUUAAUAUUCUUUUUUACUUUAUAAUUUUAUUGUUGUAUUACUAUAAUUUAUAUAUAAAAAAAUAAUUUAGUUAUUUUAAAUUAAAUUUUAAUUAUAUAAAAAUAUAAUUAUAUUAUUUUUAUUUAUUAAAUUAUUUAUUAUUUAUAUAUAAAUUAUAGUUUUACAUUAUACAUUCAUACCAAAUAAAUGAUAGAACUAAUGAAAUUUCAUUUUCAUAACUAUGAAACAAAUAACAGGAAAGAAAUAGUUUUCACCAAACUCUAUUUUAACCCAAAGCCUAGUUCAAUCUAAAGUCUAGUUUUAAUGAAAUAAACAUUACCUAGUCCAAUCUAACGAAAAAAA
rnacentral:lncRNA from 1 species